GGCGAACGCUGGCGGCGUGCUUAACACAUGCAAGUCGAACGGAAAGGCCCUGCUUUUGUGGGGUGCUCGAGUGGCGAACGGGUGAGUAACACGUGAGUAACCUGCCCUUGACUUUGGGAUAACUUCAGGAAACUGGGGCUAAUACCAGAUAGGAGCUCCUGCUGCAUGGUGGGGGUUGGAAAGUUUCGGCGGUUGGGGAUGGACUCGCGGCUUAUCAGCUUGUUGGUGGGGUAGUGGCUUACCAAGGCUUUGACGGGUAGCCGGCCUGAGAGGGUGACCGGCCACAUUGGGACUGAGAUACGGCCCAGACUCCUACGGGAGGCAGCAGUGGGGAAUAUUGCACAAUGGGCGGAAGCCUGAUGCAGCAACGCCGCGUGCGGGAUGACGACCUUCGGGUUGUAAACCGCUUUCGCCUGUGACGAAGCGUGAGUGACGGUAAUGGGUAAAGAAGCACCGGCUAACUACGUG
rnacentral:rRNA from 1 species